GCUGUUUGUCCUCUACUUGGUUGCUGUAAUAAUUUGAAAAAACAAAAAAAAAAAAAAAAUAAGGAAAAAGUAUGACAGUGUGUAAGCUCCCAGCUGUGUUUAUAACUUCUGUGAAGCUUGUGUUAGGUUUUCCACAGUACGUUCCUGAUGUAAGACAAAGAAAGAGUCUGCUGAUGGGCUGGGACUUCCGCUGACUAUUCAAGAAGACUUUCCAUGGGCCCAGGUGGAACCUCUGUUAUUUCUUGAAGGAGGAGGUCACAGACCAGGCAGCAUUGUGUCUCAGCUUGAGAAACAGCCUCAUGUCAUCUGGACCGGCACCAUUGUGGCAUGCUCUGCUAGGAGCAUUGCUUCUCGCUGGCAUCGUCUCCAUCACUUUGGGCUCCCUGCUGCUGCUGAGGCCAGAAUUAUUUAAAGGUGGAGCCAGAGGAGGAAAAGGGGGAGACCUGCGUGAGACUCUCCAGGAGCUCCAGAAUGCUCUGGAGAAGCUGCAAGACAUCUUAAGCAACUGCAAUGCAUCAAGAGAAGCAGCAUCAAACAAGCAGUCAUCAUCUGAAGCCAAUGAAAUUAGCACGUCAGUAGAAACAACAACUGCUAAGCAGACAACAACAGCUACUGAAACUAGUAUGUAACCUGCUAUCAUUAUACAGGAUUUUUUAGGAUUGUAUUGUGUUUGAAAUAUUUUAAUAUCUUUCCUGAUUGACACAUUUCAUUUGUGACCAGAAUAUCUUAUCUCUGAUUGCGUACAACUUUAAACUGGUACCAGAACCUUGGACCUUCAAGGGGAGUUUUGCAAAGGUUGCUCUCGUGGUCUGGCAUCCUGAGCAUCCAAAAUAUAUUGGCCUUGUGAUUUUCUUUUUAUUGUUUUAUUUUGUCAUAAGUUAAGGUUAAUAACUAUUUCUUCCCAUCAGCAUCAGUGAAACCAUCCAGCAGAUUCGCCGUUUCAACUUCUAGUAAGUGAAAUAUCUUUUUCCUGUUAGUCCAAAAUAUCAAGUAACUUAGUUCUUCAGAUGAAUAAUGUAUUCUGUAUCAUACUGAUGAGCUGACUGCUGCGUUCACUGUCAAAUUUUUGCUUUUAUAGUUCUG
rnacentral:lncRNA from 1 species